rnacentral:ncRNA from 1 species
ACCCCACUCAACCUGCGUGAAUACCCGCUGAACUUAAGCAUAUCAAUAAGCGGAGGAAAAGAAACCAACAGGGAUUGCCCUAGUAACGGCGAGUGAAGCGGCAACAGCUCAAAUUUGAAAUCUGGCCCCCGGGUCCGAGUUGUAA